rnacentral:sRNA from 1 species
GGAAAUUCUUACGCUGGACAGCUGAAGACGACACGCUUUGAAGAGGUCUUGCACAAUUCCAUCGAGGCAUCCCUGCGGUCCAACAACCUGGUGCCCAGGCCCAUCUUUUCCCAGCUGUACCUGGAAGCUGAGCAGCAGCUUGCCGCUCUAGAAGGUGGCAGCCGAGUGGACAAUGAGGAAGAGGAAGAAGAGGGAGAAGGAGGGCUGGAAACAAACGGCCCCCCAAACCCUUUCCAGCUGCACCCUCUGCCUGAAGGAUGCUGUACCACAGACGGUGAGCCUCUGCCAGCUCCUGGCCAGGCAGUGCCUGCCAUGCUGUCCGGAGGCAGUGGCCAGGCGGGUGACUGGGCCUGUGACUGUGUGCUGCAGGGGUCCUCUUUGCUCUUCCUCUUUGCUUUCCCUGAGGUGUGAGCCAUGCCCCUGGGCCCGCAGCAGGUGCUGGCCCGGCCUGCGCUCCUGAAACAGGAGCUCCAGAGACACCAUCCUGGGAUGCUAAGGCAGGCCUCUGUGCCACUCCUUGGACAGCCUCAACUUUACCAGUGGCUUGGGAGCCAGACAUUCAUUUUUCUGUGUUGGUUGCUUGGAACCUAGAAUACAUUUUCCCUGCUCAGGCCUGUUUGCACAGCGUAUUGAACUCACAAGUGAUUAGGAGGAAUAAUCUUUCUUUUUUUUUUUUUUGACAGAAUCUCACUCUGUUGCCCAGGCUGGAGUGCAGUGGUGCAAUCUCAGAUCACUGCAACCUCCGCCUCCCGGGUUCAAGCAAUUCUCCUGCCUCAGCCUCCCCAGUAGCUGGGAUUAUAGGCACAUGCCACCAUGCCUGGCUAAUU